UAUUGUUGCACAGCUUAGAGCUCUGUCUGCUUUUCGCCUGCGGAGUGUCGGUGCUGUGCGAAAGUGAUAAACU
rnacentral:pre_miRNA from 1 species